GACAGAGGGUGCAAACGUCGCUCGGAAUCACUGGGCGUAAAGGGCGUGUAGGCGGGAAGGAAAGUCAGAUGUGAAAUCCCUGGGCUCAACCCAGGAACUGCAUUUGAAACUCCCUUUCUUGAGUGUCGGAGAGGAAAGUGGAAUUCCUGGUGUAGAGGUGAAAUUCGUAGAUAUCAGGAGGAACACCGGUGGCGAAGGCGGCUUUCUGGACGACAACUGACGCUGAGACGCGAAAGCGUGGGGAGCAAACAGG
rnacentral:rRNA from 1 species